rnacentral:rRNA from 1 species
UCGCCUACGGGGGGCUGCAGGCGCGAAAACUUUACAAUGCGGGAAACCGUGAUAAGGGAACUCCGAGUGCCCGUUAAAUCGGGCUGUCCACCAGUUUAAAUAACUGGUGAAGAAAGGGCCGGGCAAGACCGGUGCCAGCCGCCGCGGUAAUACCGGCGGCUCGAGUGGUGGCCACUAUUACUGGGCUUAAAGCGUUCGUAGCUGGUUUGUUAAGUCUCUGGGGAAAUCUACCGGCUUAACCGGUAGGCGUCUCAGGGAUACUGGCAGACUAGGGACCGGGAGAGGUGAGAGGUACUCCAGGGGUAGGAGUGAAAUCCUGUAAUCCUUGGGGGACCACCUGUGGCGAAGGCGUCUCACCAGAACGGCUCCGACAGUGAGGGACGAAAGCUGGGGGAGCAAACCGGAUUAGAUACCCCGGUAGUC